GGUCCCGUAGUUUAACAGGAUAGAACGUGAGAUUCCGGUUCUCAUGGUAGGGGUUCGAGUCCUCUCGGGAUCA
rfam:Bacteroides sp. SM23_62_1 WORSMTZ_29480, whole genome shotgun sequence.